rnacentral:lncRNA from 1 species
CAGAAUACUACAAGUCAUCAACUUCAAAAUAUGUUAAAUUUACAAUAAACUAGCUAUACAAUUGUUAAGAAGCCUUAUUUAAAAUUUACAAUUAUACUCUAAUAAAAACCCUUUGAUUUAUCCCCAUGCACGUACAAGCGACACACCAACUCCAACUUCAUUUUUCUUUGGUACCUACAACCGUAUUUAAUGUAAGGGUCAAUUUUCUUAUCCAAAUUGAAUCAUGCCGAACGGAAGGUAAAUGUCAUAAAAUAACAAUAAAAUACUCGGCCAUAAAGAAGAAAUAAAAUAAAAUCGAUACCAGAAACUAUUCUUAAUAACACUAUACCAGUUAAUAAUGCAUGAAAUGCAUCUAAACCAUGAUCCAGAUAUCACCUCUCCGCAGAGCAAAAUAAAGUGUCCCACCAUUGGACAGUGUCCCACCGUUGGACACAAUACCCCACCGUUGGGUAUUAAGGUUCGGUACCCCACCGUUGGGUAUUGUUCCGAAUCACACAAACCUAUAACAACAACUAUAUGCUAUGCUAUGCAUACUAUAGACACCUUUUAAAACCAGCACCAUUUGAUUAAAAUCAAUUGAAAGUGUAGAACUUUCUUUUAAACCCGAUAAAUUCACCAUUUAUCGAAACUGACAAAAUACUCAAAUUGACAAUCAACCACACACAAAAUCAUAAAAAUAAAUAUACAAUCAGCCACACACAUAAGUACUCCAUAUAUUAACAUAGCAUAAAAUGUUAUCAAAAUAAGUCUUCGCCAUUCCUUCUAUUUCCAUCUCUAUUGGUUAAAUACUUCAUUCUCAAUCUAUAACAUAAACCUUAAGUGCACGAGUGUAUGGGGAAAAAGCCCUUACCUUAGGCGCUUUCCUUCCAAGCAUACGUCUCUAAGCUAAUUUGACGCUUACGCACCCUAUAUCAGGUUUGCACGCAUAAACUUUUUGUUCCUUCGCCUCCUCGUGUUCUCUGAUUGUUCCAACUCGAAAAUUUGUGGUUGGGAGUAAAAAUAAAAUAUAAGAAUAUGCUCUAAAAUGGUCAAUUUUGAAAUUGGGCCGAAGAACCUUACCCCAAAUCAGAAAAUAAUCUGGUGGAGAAUAUUACUGACGUUUAUGCGGUUGAUUCGUCGUUGAUUUCACUCAAAUCGGAGUUACAAUGACAAAGAUCGGAACAAAAGGGUGAAUCUCGUCGAUGAAGAAAAUUGGAGUUUCGACAAAGACAAUGGAAUAUCUAUAUAUUCGAAAGAGUGAAUUAAAUAAACUGACUCAUAGGUAGAAACAUCAUACCAAAAUUUAAACGAAAAAGGAGCAGGCUAAUUGCACAGCUAAUUGAAACCGAAACCAAUUUCCUCACCUCUUCUCCGUCGCUGCUGCCAUACUCUCUCACUCUGUGUGUUACUGUUCCAAAACUAAUUCCAAUAUCUAGGUUCAUAACCCAUCACUUGUUCUCCAACGUGGCUCAUCACCCACUAAGCACUAACUCCUUCAAUUUAGGUUCACUUAACAGAAAUGCAUACUCUUAG